ACGGGUGAGUAACGCGUAGACAACCUACCUUCCAGAUGGGGACAACACCGCGAAAGUGGUGCUAAUACCGAAUGUUGUACGAGGGGAGCAUUCUUCUUGUACUAAAGGUGGCCUCUGAACAUGCUACCGCUGGAAGAUGGGUCUGCGUCUGAUUAGCUAGUUGGCGGGGUAACGGCCCACCAAGGCGACGAUCAGUAGCCGGUCUGAGAGGAUGAACGGCCACACUGGGACUGAGACACGGCCCAGACUCCUACGGGAGGCAGCAGUGGGGAAUCUUCCGCAAUGGACGAAAGUCUGACGGAGCAACGCCGCGUGAGUAAAGAAGGCCUUCGGGUCGUAAAGCUCUGUUAUUAGGGACGAAUGUGCCAUGUGUAAAUAAUGCAUGGUAGUGACGGUACCUAAGGAGGAAGCCACGGUUAACUACGUGCCAGCAGCCGCGGUAAUACGUAGGUGGCAAGCGUUGUCCGGAAUUAUUGGGCGUAAAGAGCGUGUAGGUGGGAUAGUCAGUCUCAUUUAAAAGAUCGGGGCUCAACCCCGUUAUGGGUGAGAAACUACUAUUCUUGAGUGCAGGAGAGGAAAGCGGA
rnacentral:rRNA from 1 species